rnacentral:rRNA from 1 species
CGCACGGGUGAGUAACGCGUGGAUAUCUGCCUAUUAGUGGGGGACAACUUCGGGAAACCGAAGCUAAUACCGCAUAAUCUCUACGGAGGAAAGCAGGGGACCUUCGGGCCUUGUGCUGAUAGAUGAGUCCGCGUCUGAUUAGUUAGUUGGUGGGGUAAAGGCCUACCAAGACGAUGAUCAGUAUCUGGUUUGAGAGGAUGAUCAGACACACUGGAACUGAGACACGGUCCAG